rnacentral:RNase_P_RNA from 1 species
GGGAGAGAGAGCCUGGCUGCCGCGGCGAACGUGUGGGCGACGACACGUUCGUACACUACCGUUGCCCGUCCCUCCGGGACGCGCAACGCUCAUAACGUGGCCCAUCUCUUCGAGAUGCGCCACGCUCGCGAGGAAAGUCCCCCCACCUGUUCGGGCAGGUGACCGGACGCAAGUCCGGAGUGGGAGACCACUGGCUCUGGAACAGAAACGACACGUCUUGGCCUGACCAAUGAUGCGUGCGAACCCAACCGAGAGGACGGGGAGUCAACCCGCAGAGGGCCGCGGUCCACCGGACCGCAAUGCGUGUGUGAUCGACACCGUGGUUCAACCCCACGAGUCAUGACCUACAAGCGCGACUCGAGGCGUCUCUGACGCACGAGCGCGGGAGUGAGUCGGCGCGAGCCGUCCAACACAGUCGGCGUGACUGAUCACACGCGGACGGCCAAGGAUCGAUGGAACGGCGAAUCCUCACCGGUGCAAGUCCACGCCGUGGUAGCCCGAACACCUCGUGGCCCUCACGGGCCGCGGACGGCGUGGACGCUUAGCCAAAUGCCGGGAUGAACAGAAGGGGGCUUACUCCUCUCACCC